rnacentral:rRNA from 1 species
AGUGAACGCUGGCGGUAGGCCUAACACAUGCAAGUCGAACGGCAGCACAGUAAGAGCUUGCUCUUACGGGUGGCGAGUGGCGGACGGGUGAGGAAUACAUCGGAAUCUACUUUUUCGUGGGGGAUAACGUAGGGAAACUUACGCUAAUACCGCAUACGACCUACGGGUGAAAGCAGGGGAUCUUCGGACCUUGCGCGAUUGAAUGAGCCGAUGUCGGAUUAGCUAGUUGGCGGGGUAAAGGCCCACCAAGGCGACGAUCCGUAGCUGGUCUGAGAGGAUGAUCAGCCACACUGGACCUGAGACACGGUCCAGACCCCUACGGGAGGCAGCAGUGGGGAAUAUUGGACAAUGGGCGCAAGCCUGAUCCAGCCAUACCGCGUGGGUGAAGAAGGCCUUCGGGUUGUAAAGCCCUUUUGUUGGGAAAGAAAAGCAGCAGGUUAAUACCCCGCUGUUCUGACGGUACCCAAAGAAUAAGCACCGGCUAACUUCGU